CAACGGCAAAACCCGUUUUACGUGGCGUAUGAGUAAUGCGGAAGUUGACACUUGCUCGUGCUCGCUGCUCCCCUCCUCUCUCGAUUAGACCCAGGCAAAAAGAUGCCAAAACUCAUUUGGUUUUUGGAGCCACAGCCUCCAAUAUUAAUGAUGCACUCGCAGCAAAUUUGUUAAACUCCACGAAGCAGAAGAUGGCAAACAAAAAAUCAAGAGAGAUGCAGAGUCGCAGGCGGAGGCAGAGAAAAAACGUCGCCUCGCCGUGCAACCUGUCAAUAAGCAGCGAUGAGUUAUGUCGCAGACCCUUUUACUUUCUUUUCCCAGCGUCC